CUACUUCAGGCAUGGUGCACAUACAUCUGGUUGUGGUGGUCGGCAAGCAACCUUCUGUCCUUACUGAAUGCGUCAUCUACCUUCUGGUGGUCGUCAAUCGAUGGUGUACACCGUGUCCAGCAUGUGGUUGUGCUUGCACAUUUAAUGCUGCCGAGAAGCUACACAUAUUUGGCAUUCGCGGCCGAGCCGCUCACCAUCAUGGAGUUGGAUCACACUAGACCUCAAUGGCAUGCUCUGCCAUGUGGCCUCCUUGAUGCUGGUCGUCGAGCGCUGAUUCGACUAGACUAUCGCGCACAUAUUGAUCACAUUUGAUAAACAAGCUAUGAUCGUUGGAGAGUACCCCUCAGAUAUAUAGGUUAAUUUGACUCGAUUUUGGUAAUAUUUAGUCUGGCUUCUCUGUAUUGCCCUUGGCGAUUCAUUGUUAGGUUUCUACACUACUCUUUACAUUUUACACUUGGCAUGUUUCCCAGUAAGACCUCGGAGGGUUCUAUGUAUAAAUGAAUCUUUACUUGGACAACAUAUGUCUCGAUACUAACUCGAUCCUAACAUGUGCCCCCACUGAAUUGUGAAUUUCCCUUGAACAACACACCUUCAGUUAGUUGUGGUGUGAAUUUCAAAUCCAAUUACUGCAUUGUUAGUUCGAGGAUGAUUUCUGAUGGCUCA